AGUAUAAAACACAAGUAUGGAAGAAGGGAAUACUGUUGACGUAAUUAACAUCAAUUAUUUAGAAGUAUAAACAAAAAAUAUGUCUUUUUGGUGAAGUUCUUUUCUUCUUCUGAAUCUUUGAAUAACGGAGAUAUUAAAUUUGAGUAUUAUAUAUUUAAGGUUCUAUUUUUUCUAUUGUUGGUUUCUUCUAUUUAUUAUUUGCUGAAACACAACAGGUCUAUUCUAUUGAGCUUGAAGGUAAUUUGUCCGUCACAAAGUUUGUCCCAGCAAAUUUUUGUGAAUUCUCAAUUUCACAAAAUUAAGAAUAAUUUUGAGAUAAUCAAACAAACUGUUCACCAAUUUCGAUUGAAUACACUCAAACGAAUAAAUUGGUAGUUCAGAGUUCUUCAAAAUUUCUAUUACAUCGAUCAGAAUCCAUUGAUUUCUUCAUCAUAUCUAUAGAAAAAAGCAGAGAAAUUUCAUAAGACACUUUUAAGGAGAUUACUACAAUUCUUAUACCUAUUGCAUUGAUGCCGAUGCUUGCUGGGAAUGGUGAAGAUACAUUAUUGGCCGAUUGUGAAGUUAAUCUGAAGAACCUCAAUUUGCUGGGAAUGGAGUUGAUGUUUUAGUUCACGACUCUACUACUGCUAAACAACUUCUGGUAUUCGUAUUAAUCUUUAAAUUUGUUAUUUCAUUUGUAGAGUUACAAGGAACCAUCAUAUGUUUUUUGCAUCAGGUAAUGUAUUCUGACUUUACAGUUGAUACAGUUGAAUAAAAAAGUGGUAUUUUCUGUUAUGUACUACUAAACUAUGCAUCAUAUUAAACUUCGUUUUAGUUACCCAAUCUGGAAGUAACUUUUGUUGUUUUCAAUUGUCGAUGGGCGAUUCAUUGGCCUUGUAGUUUACUAACUAUUUUCUUGUGAUGAAAACUGAAGGGCUAAAUUUACAUUUUGUUUGCAGUCUGAAGUCACUGCUCUAAAGAUCUACACCCAUGGCAGGAGCAAUUGGUGUUGUAGAAAAUGGUUGUUCAGUCCCUGAAGCUGCUGCUUCAAGGGUGGAAGCUUUUUCAAGACUCUUAACUUCUUCCAAUUUUUAUUAGACUACAAAGGUUCCCUCCGAUUACAACCAAUUUUGUUUCUGUUCUUGUUUGUUUCUGCUUUACAAAUCAGAUUCAUGACAUUACAUUCACAGAUUCAAGACAUUUCAGGGUCUUUCCGUUGGGAUCCAUUUUUUGCGCUGCAGAAAUCUGACACCUUCUUAACCAUGCUUUUGCUGCUGUCAUGCCAUUGGUUGAUCUAGCGGAAGGAAAUCUUGAUAACAUUAUCACACAUCUUCUGUGGUUCGUAUGCUAGCGGAAUGUGUUGGACUUCUUUGGUUUGAGACCUCAGAUAAAAAAGUUACCUGUACAAGUUAGCAGCAGCAAAGGUAAUAGAACAUGUUGCUGGAGUUCUUGCAGGCUUGUUAAAAGGUGGGAUGAGUAACUGGUCAGUGAAUUCCGUAGUAAAGCAUUUUUGGAAGCCUUCACUAUUUCAAAAGAAGGAAAGGAAGAGAGUCUCAAGUUCAAAACAGUGACAUGAAAAAUCCCCCUUUACCAGCGUUAAGCGGUGCUAACUACCAUGCAUCACCAGCAGACCUGCGUAUAACCAGCGAAGACCUUCGUUAGCAUCUGCAGAUGUAGACCCCUCUGCUGCACCACAUCCUAAAUAGUAUAUGGAGCCGUUAGUGAUUCGCAUUGCUGGGCUGUAAAAGAAUGCAAGGAAAGGAUAUAGUCGUGUGGUUAGGUAUAUGCACCGAUGGACCAGUUCACUAUUAAGACAAUUGUAAUUAAGUUAAUUGGCAUGGAGUGAUUGUUUAAACCGCGUUGUGAUGGUACGAUAUUGUAAAUUAUAGUGCAAAUGCAAUCUUCGUUUCCGUUGGUUUUGAGCAA